CCUACGGGAGGCAGCAGUGAGGAAUAUUGGUCAAUGGGCGUAAGCCUGAACCAGCCAAGUCGCGUGAGGGAUGAAGGUUCUAUGGAUCGUAAACCUCUUUUAUAAGGGAAUAAAGUGCGGGACGUGUCCCGUUUUGUAUGUACCUUAUGAAUAAGGAUCGGCUAACUCCGUGCCAGCAGCCGCGGUAAUACGGAGGAUCCGAGCGUUAUCCGGAUUGAUUGGGUUUAAAGGGGGCGUAGGCGGCCUUUUAAGUCAGCGGUGAAAGUCUGUGGCUCAACCAUAGAAGUGCCGUUGAAACUGGGAGGAUUGAGUAUGUUUGAGGCAGGCGGAAUGCGUGGUGGAGCGGUGAAAUGCUUAGAUAUCACGCAGAACCCCGAUUGCGAAGGCAGCCUGCCAAGCCAUGACUGACGCUGAUGCACGAAAGCGUGGGGAUCAAACAGGAUUAGAUACCCUUGUAGUC
rnacentral:rRNA from 1 species